rnacentral:rRNA from 1 species
CCACACUGGGACUGAGACACGGCCCAGACUCCUACGGGAGGCAGCAGUGGGGAAUUUUGGACAAUGGGCGCAAGCCUGAUCCAGCCAUGCCGCGUGUCUGAAGAAGGCCUUCGGGUUGUAAAGGACUUUUGUCAGGGAAGAAAAGGGCGGGGUUAAUACCCCUGUCUGAUGACGGUACCUGAAGAAUAAGCACCGGCUAACUACGUGCCAGCAGCCGCGGUAAUACGUAGGGUGCGAGCGUUAAUCGGAAUUACUGGGCGUAAAGCGGGCGCAGACGGUUACUUAAGCAGGAUGUGAAAUCCCCGGGCUCAACCUGGGAACUGCGUUCUGAACUGGGUGACUAGAGUGUGUCAGAGGGAGGUAGAAUUCCACGUGUAGCAGUGAAAUGCGUAGAGAUGUGGAGGAAUACCGAUGGCGAAGGCAGCCUCCUGGGAUAACACUGACGUUCAUGCCCGAAAGCGUGGGUAGCAAACAGGAUUAGAUACCCUGGUAGUCCACGCCCUAAACGAUGUCGAUUAGCUGUUGGGCAGCAUGACUGCUUAGUAGCGAAGCUAACGCGUGAAAUCGACCGCCUGGGGAGUACGGUCGCAAGAUUAAAACUCAAAGGAAUUGACGGGGACCCGCACAAGCGGUGGAUGAUGUGGAUUAAUUCGAUGCAACGCGAAGAACCUUACCUGGUCUUGACAUGUACGGAACCUUCCAGAGACGGAAGGGUGCCUUCGGGAGCCGUAACACAGGUGCUGCAUGGCUGUCGUCAGCUCGUGUCGUGAGAUGUUGGGUUAAGUCCCGCAACGAGCGCAACCCUUGUCAUUAGUUGCCAUCAUUUAGUUGGGCACUCUAAUGAGACUGCCGGUGACAAACCGGAGGAAGGUGGGGAUGACGUCAAGUCCUCAUGGCCCUUAUGACCAGGGCUUCACACGUCAUACAAUGGUCGGUACAGAGGGUAGCCAAGCCGCGAGGUGGAGCCAAUCUCACAAAACCGAUCGUAGUCCGGAUUGCACUCUGCAACUCGAGUGCAUGAAGUCGGAAUCGCUAGUAAUCGCAGGUCAGCAUACUGCGGUGAAUACGUUCCCGGGUCUUGUACACACCGCCCGUCACACCAUGGGAGUGGGGGAUACCAGAAGUAGGUAGGGUAACCGCAAGGAGCCCGCUUACCACGGUAUGCUUCAUGACUGGGGUGAAGUCGUAACAAGGUAGCCGUAGGGGAACCUGCGGCUG